AAUCAACGCUGGCGGCGUGCCUCAGACAUGCAAGUCGAACGAUUAAGACUUCCUUCGGGAAGUGUAUAAAGUGGCGCACGGGUGAGUAACACGUAAGUAAUCUACCUUCGAGUGGGGAAUAACGUUCGGAAACGAACGCUAAUACCGCAUAAUGCAGCGGCAUCGCAAGAUGACAGUUGUUAAAGGAAUUUAUUUCGCUUGAAGAGGAGCUUGCGGCAGAUUAGCUAGUGGGUAAGGUAACGGCUUACCAAGGCUACGAUCUGUAUCCGGUCUAAGAGGACGGUCGGACACACUGACACUGAAUAACGGGUCAGACUCCUACGGGAGGCAGCAGUCGGGAAUUUUGGGCAAUGGGGCGAAAGCCUGACCCAGCAACGCCGCGUGAAGGAUGAAGUAUUUCGGUAUGUAAACUUCGAAAGAAUGGGAAGAAUAAAUGACGGUACUAUUUGUAAGGUCCGGCUAACUACGUGCCAGCAGCCGCGGUAAU
rnacentral:rRNA from 1 species